rnacentral:rRNA from 1 species
AGAGUUUGAUCCUGGCUCAGGAUGAACGCUGGCGGCGUGCUUAACACAUGCAAGUCGAACGAUCCUUCGGGAUAGUGGCGGACGGGUGAGUAACGCGUGGGAAUCUGCCCUUAGGAGGGGGAUAACGGCUGGAAACGGCCGCUAAUACCCCAUAUGCCGAGAGGUGAAACGAAUUUCGCCUGAGGAUGAGCCCGCGUCUGAUUAGCUAGUUGGUGGGGUAAAGGCCUACCAAGGCGACGAUCAGUAGCUGGUCUGAGAGGAUGAUCAGCCACACUGGGACUGAGACACGGCCCAGACUCCUACGGGAGGCAGCAGUGGGGAAUUUUCCGCAAUGGGCGAAAGCCUGACGGAGCAACGCCGCGUGAGGGAUGAAGGCCUCUGGGCUGUAAACCUCUUUUCUCAAGGAAGAAGAACUGACGGUACUUGAGGAAUAAGCCACGGCUAAUUCCGUGCCAGCAGCCGCGGUAAUACGGGAGUGGCAAGCGUUAUCCGGAAUUAUUGGGCGUAAAGCGUCCGCAGGCGGCCUUGUAAGUCUGUUGUUAAAGCGUGGAGCUCAACUCCAUUUAAGCAAUGGAAACUACAAGGCUGGAGUGUGGUAGGGGCAGAGGGAAUUCCCGGUGUAGCGGUGAAAUGCGUAGAUAUCGGGAAGAACACCAGUGGCGAAGGCGCUCUGCUGGGCCAUAACUGACGCUCAUGGACGAAAGCCAGGGGAGCGAAAGGGAUUAGAUACCCCUGUAGUCCUGGCCGUAAACGAUGAACACUAGGUGUCGGGGGAAUCGACCCCCUCGGUGUCGUAGCCAACGCGUUAAGUGUUCCGCCUGGGGAGUACGCACGCAAGUGUGAAACUCAAAGGAAUUGACGGGGGCCCGCACAAGCGGUGGAGUAUGUGGUUUAAUUCGAUGCAACGCGAAGAACCUUACCAGGGUUUGACAUCCUGCGAAUCCCUUGGAAACGAGGGAGUGCCUUCGGGAGCGCAGUGACAGGUGGUGCAUGGCUGUCGUCAGCUCGUGUCGUGAGAUGUUGGGUUAAGUCCCGCAACGAGCGCAACCCACGUCUUUAGUUGCCAGCAUUCAGUUGGGCACUCUAGAGAGACCGCCGGUGAUAAACCGGAGGAAGGUGUGGAUGACGUCAAGUCAUCAUGCCCCUUACAUCCUGGGCUACACACGUACUACAAUGCUACGGACAAAGGGCAGCAAGCUCGCGAGAGUUAGCAAAUCCCAUAAACCGUGGCUCAGUUCAGAUCGUAGGCUGCAACUCGCCUACGUGAAGGAGGAAUCGCUAGUAAUCGCAGGUCAGCAUACUGCGGUGAAUACGUUCCCGGGCCUUGUACACACCGCCCGUCACACCAUGGAAGUUGGCCAUGCCCGAAGUCGUUACUCCAACCCUUGUGGAGGAGGACGCCGAAGGUGGGGCUGAUGACUGGGGUGAAGUCGAAACAAGGUA